UACGGAGGGGGCUAGCGUUGUUCGGAAUUACUGGGCGUAAAGCGCACGUAGGCGGCUUUGUAAGUUAGAGGUGAAAGCCCGGAGCUCAACUCCGGAAUUGCCUUUAAGACUGCAUCGCUAGAAUUGUGGAGAGGUGAGUGGAAUUCCGAGUGUAGCGGUGAAAUGCGUAGAUAUCUGGAGGAACACCGGUGGCGAAGGCGGCAUCCUGGACCAACACUGACGCUGAGGAGCGAAAGCCAGGGGAGCAAACGGG
rnacentral:rRNA from 1 species